UGCGCACAUCAUGGGCGAGAGUGGGCGCGCAAGGCCGAACAAACAGGUUGUGCCACUGGGCGGUGGGUGGCUGGUGGGUGGCAGGUGGAGGUGGUGAUAGAGAGGGGUGGGGCGGAGGUGGGUGCGUUGGCGAUUGCGGCGAAUAUUCGAAAGUUGUGAAUAACCCAAAAGUGCGUGCCCCUGAUUGGGCCAAGUAGCAGUAUCCAGUACCAGAAUCAACUAGCAGAUCAACCGUAUAAACCAGAUCAACAAUUCCACACGGCGUAAACAAACACAGUAGAGUGCCAAAGUUUACUGUCACGUGCUUGUCAACAACGUCUUGACGUUUUCGUUUUAUAACGCCCUGACCCCGGACACGAUGAAGCUUUACAAGUGACCCCCGGCUCUCAGUUCUCGGACUUUGCACCCGGCCAACGGCAACUACUACCACUCUAUUGCCACUGCCACUAACUGAACUGAACUGAACUGUGGCUCAGGUGCCACAGCGCUUUCAUCAUACUUUUAGGACGCUGCCAGGACACGGCCUGCCGGCAUUUCCUACAGGGCACGAAGGACAUCCCCAAUCCCUUUGCCAUCCUCGUGCACAUUCGCAUCCACAUCCUCGCCUACAUGAAGCGAGAGCGCCCACAAGGGAUACAGUUGUUAACGUGGCCAAGGAGCAGCGACUAUGGCGGGGACAAAAACACAAACAUGGUUGCCGCAGGACGCUUGCAGUUGAAGGAGCAGAGCACUUUAUGUGCAUAUAAUGUCCGCUCUCACCCAAAGCGCACACCCACACUCACUCACUAACUCGCACACACACUAGCACACACAGGAAGGACCCUUUGAGGACGGUGUCGGCCAAGUUGCGGGGAAUUGUUAAUAUUGUCUGGGCCUGUAAGCAGCAUUUACAUGCUGGCCGACACCACGUACUACAUACGUCCUGGCUGAUGGACGGUCGCCGGGAUACGGAAUCCUUGCCACUUUCCAUGCGGAUGAUGCCCCGGCUUUAAAUGUUGAAUUAACCGACGAUGCCCACCCAGCCCGACAGCUUUCAUUAGAAAAGGCGGAUGGACAAAGUCCUGGAGUUGCCGGAUGUGGAAAGCCCAAAUGCCGAUGCAUUCUCGAUUCGUGGCAUUAAGACAAAAAUAAACUUGAUUUUGGUAUGAAAUUGAUUCAUUCAUUUUCGAUCCAUUGAGUCAGAUUCUUAUCCGAUGGAUGAGUCGGGCAGCAUCGCCACUUCCAACUGUGUGCACAUCCAACAGGUAGUCAAACCAGACAAACUGUCUCCACUUGCACUGGAGUCUCGUUUCCAUCCACUUCGCCUCUUCCAUCGCAAAUUUCAGAUUCUUUAAGGCUAGUUAGUGACUUGAAAGGCUGCAAAAACAGAGGACACCCUUAAUGUAAGGAUAUCGUCAGCCAGAUUCGUAAAGAGUACUUCUCGGAUAAAUUUCGAUGUUGCCAAGGACCAGAAUGUCAGCUAGAGAACAUGAGAACCUACCAGAGAACUGUUGAAUGAUUUUUUAUGGACUGGAUGAAAGCAGCUAGAUAUUAUUAUGUUAAUUUAUAAUACACAUUAUAUGAUUAUAUAGAUUUACAAAAUAAUACGAUAUCAAGAAAGGUCAUCAAAGUAGGAUGGAUGUUUUGCUUUUAUGUAUCUCCAAAAUGUAUUGAUAUUCGUCAGUAUUCCUAUUGGAUCACUUUUUGCAAAACAACAUACGAUUGCAGAAUAUAAUUAUUUAUGUAAAUCUUAUAUAGCCAGGAUGUUAUGGAAAUCAAAAUUGUGUAUAUGGCCACU